rnacentral:rRNA from 1 species
ACUCCUGCGGGAGGCAGCAGUGGGGAAUUUUGGACAAUGGGCGAAAGCCUGAUCCAGCAAUGCCGCGUGCAGGAUGAAGGCCUUCGGGUUGUAAACUGCUUUUGUACGGAACGAAAAAGCUCCUUCUAAUACAGGGGGCCCAUGACGGUACCGUAAGAAUAAGCACCGGCUAACUACGUGCCAGCAGCCGCGGUAAUACGUAGGGUGCGCGCGUUAAUCGGAAUUACUGGGCGUAAAGCGUGCGCAGGCGGUUAUGUAAGACAGAUGUGAAAUCCCCGGGCUCAACCUGGGAACUGCAUUUGUGACUGCAUGGCUAGAGUACGGUAGAGGGGGAUGGAAUUCCGCGUGUAGCAGUGAAAUGCGUAGAUAUGCGGAGGAACACCGAUGGCGAAGGCAAUCCCCUGGACCUGUACUGACGCUCAUGCACGAAAGCGUGGGGAGCAAACAGGAUUAGAAACCCGAGUAGUCCCAUGA